GAUUAGCUCAGUUGGUAGAGCAGCUGACUCUUAAUCAGCGGGUCGAAGGUUCGAGCCCUUCAU
rnacentral:tRNA from 1 species